AGGUAACGCCCUCAAGAUAGGAAGAAAUGGCUGAGGGCUAAGGCUGUGCGAAGGCCCUGGAAUGUCCCCUGCUUCUCCACUGAGCAGUCUCAGCAGGAGGAGAUGCCCAGCCAGCUCUGUGUGUGGAAUGGAUUCUCAGUGGGCCAGCUCCUGCAUGUUGGUGUGUUGGUGCAUGUUAGACUGCCAUUCAGCAAAAGGCAAGACUCUGCCUCCACUCUGAGUAUUCUGGAAAAUGUAAGUAAU
rnacentral:lncRNA from 1 species